CAUGUGUCCCUCCGUGACCACAAGGAUGAAAUCAAAGUCUAUCAGCAAUACUGUGGAACAGAAAACAUCUGUGUCUAUAAAGGCGACCUGUUGGAAGGAGAUACCUUCCAGUUCAUCUCUAAGAGGUACCUGGGUUACCCGUUCAGCCUCACCUUUUAUCUCAACGGGCUCCAAGUUGACAGGCUGAGCUGUUGCUGUGAGUACAGAGGCUUCCAGAGUAAGAGGCCGUCCCGGCUGCGACGCAAAAACACCUACUUCAGGGUGCUCCAUGUGGCAGGAGCACCUCCUUGCUACAGGUGCUUCCUUGCCAUGGGUCUGGACAAAAAGCUGUACCCCCCCAAGAGGAAGAUGAAGGUGCCCACGCGGUCGCACAUGUGCUCCUGCUCUCCCUACUGCGCGCACAGCCUGCCCUGCGACAGCAGCAGCGCGCUGCAGAAAUCCAUCCAGGGCUCCGUGUCCCUCACCAUGCCCAGCCAGGAGGAAAGCGUGGACACCAUCGACGUAACGCUGGACUCUGAAGAGGAGUGCUGCGAAGAAGAGGAGUGCUGUGAAGAAGAGGAGUACUGCGAAGAAGAGGAAUUUGAAGAAGAAGAAGUAGAAGAAGAAGGAGUAGAAGAAGAAGGAGUAGAAGAAGAAGUUGAAGAAGGAGGAGUAGAAGAAGAAGCAGAAGUAGAAACAAUAGACCAAUCUCUUGUGGAGACCGAAGGCACCACUCAGGGAACCACCAGUGAAAGUGAAUAUGAUGAAGAUUUUGAAGCAGAUGAAGAAGUUAAUGAAGAGGGACAGACUGGUGAUCAAAUGAAUGGAAUGUCAAAGUCAUCCUCAGAUGAUAAAAACCAUAAUUUAGACUAUGGAAAGGAGAGUGAAACCUCAUCUCAGAAGGCACUGCAGGCCUCUGACAGUGAGAAAGAUAAAAGUGGCAGAUAUUCUGAUGACAGGGACUCUGAAGAUGAUCUACCAGGUUGGUUUUGUUCAUAACGAGGCUUGGAGGA
rnacentral:lncRNA from 1 species